rnacentral:rRNA from 1 species
ACAUGCAGUAGAACGCUGAAGAGAGGAGCUUGCUCUUCUUGGAUGAGUUGCGAACGGGUGAGUAACGCGUAGGUAACCUGCCUUGUAGCGGGGGAUAACUAUUGGAAACGAUAGCUAAUACCGCAUAACAAUGGAUGACACAUGUCAUUUAUUUGAAAGGGGCAAUUGCUCCACUACAAGAUGGACCUGCGUUGUAUUAGCUAGUAGGUGAGGUAAUGGCUCACCUAGGCGACGAUACAUAGCCGACCUGAGAGGGUGAUCGGCCACACUGGGACUGAGACACGGCCCAGACUCCUACGGGAGGCAGCAGUAGGGAAUCUUCGGCAAUGGGGGCAACCCUGACCGAGCAACGCCGCGUGAGUGAAGAAGGUUUUCGGAUCGUAAAGCUCUGUUGUAAGUCAAGAACGGGUGUGAGAGUGGAAAGUUCACACUGUGACGGUAGCUUACCAGAAAGGGACGGCUAACUACGUGCCAGCAGCCGCGGUAAUACGUAGGUCCCGAGCGUUGUCCGGAUUUAUUGGGCGUAAAGCGAGCGCAGGCGGUUUGAUAAGUCUGAAGUUAAAGGCUGUGGCUCAACCAUAGUUCGCUUUGGAAACUGUCAAACUUGAGUGCAGAAGGGGAGAGUGGAAUUCCAUGUGUAGCGGUGAAAUGCGUAGAUAUAUGGAGGAACACCGGUGGCGAAAGCGGCUCUCUGGUCUGUAACUGACGCUGAGGCUCGAAAGCGUGGGGGAGCGAACAGGAUUAGAUACCCUGGUAGUCCACGCCGUAAACGAGAGUGCUAGGUGUUGGAUCCUUUCCGGGAUUCAGUGCCGCAGCUAACGCAUUAAGCACUCCGCCUGGGGAGUACGACCGCAAGGUUGAAACUCAAAGGAAUUGACGGGGGCCCGCACAAGCGGUGGAGCAUGUGGUUUAAUUCGAAGCAACGCGAAGAACCUUACCAGGUCUUGACAUCCCGAUGCUAUUUCUAGAGAUAGAAAGUUACUUCGGUACAUCGGUGACAGGUGGUGCAUGGUUGUCGUCAGCUCGUGUCGUGAGAUGUUGGGUUAAGUCCCGCAACGAGCGCAACCCCUAUUGUUAGUUGCCAUCAUUCAGUUGGGCACUCUAGCGAGACUGCCGGUAAUAAACCGGAGGAAGGUGGGGAUGACGUCAAAUCAUCAUGCCCCUUAUGACCUGGGCUACACACGUGCUACAAUGGUUGGUACAACGAGUUGCGAGUCGGUGACGGCGAGCUAAUCUCUUAAAGCCAAUCUCAGUUCGGAUUGUAGGCUGCAACUCGCCUACAUGAAGUCGGAAUCGCUAGUAAUCGCGGAUCAGCACGCCGCGGUGAAUACGUUCCCGGGCCUUGUACACACCGCCCGUCACGCCACGAGAGUUUGUAACACCCGAAGUCGGUGAGGUAACCUUUGGAGCCAGCCGC